rnacentral:rRNA from 1 species
UACGUAGGGUGCAAGCGUUGUCCGGAAUUACUGGGCGUAAAGAGCUCGUAGGCGGUUUGUCGCGUUGUCCGUGAAAACUCACAGCUUAACUGUGGGCGUGCGGGCGAUACUGGCAGACUGGAGUACUGCAGGGGAGACUGGAAUUCCUGGUGUAGCGGUGGAAUGCGCAGAUAUCAGGAGGAACACCGGUGGCGAAGGCGGGUCUCUGGGCAGUAACUGACGCUGAGGAGCGAAAGCGUGGGGAGCGAACAGG